CUUUCUCGUUGGGGAACUACUUUUGAGCUGAUGAAAAGGAACAAUAGCAAGCAUGCUUGCGCGCUUGUUAACCCUUGGCGGUGAACACUUGAAUCUGCUUUUGUGACCUGCUCCAGCAAGUUCGAUCAGCUGCUAGUUUCAGAUGCAAUCAGCUUGCCCAAUAAUACGUGUUGUGAAGGAAACUUUGUGUCCUGCAAGAGGAGGCCAGGACUUGGACGGGAACGCGAACGUGGCAACGUCGCCCCGAAGUGAGCUCCCGGCUUCUGUGGACAGUAAGUUGCCUUAUCUUCCGGCUGAGCCGAGUGGGAACGGACGACGAGCCGGGCGAGUGACUGUGCUUUCCUUCCCCGCAGCGCGUCCCAUGGGAAGCAGGCUCUGCAGCGCUCUCACCAAGACCCUGGACGGCAGCGCCGCCUCCCAGCACCCAGAGUAUCUGGUGGCACCCGACCUGGAGCAUCUGGAGCCCAUUGAUCCUAAAGAGCUCCUUGAGGAGUGCAGGGCCGUCCUGCACACUCGGCCUCCCCGCUUCCAGCGGGGUUUCGUGGAUCUGCGGGCCGAUGGCCCCAGGAGUAGCCACACACCCAUCCGGGUCAUGCAGUGGAACAUCCUCGCCCAAGCUCUUGGAGAAGGCAAAGACAACUUUGUACAGUGCCCUCUUGAAGCACUCAAGUGGGAAGAAAGGAAAUGUCUCAUCCUGGAAGAAAUCCUAGCCUACCAGCCCGAUAUACUAUGCCUCCAAGAGGUGGACCACUACUUUGACACCUUCCACCCCCUCCUCAGUAGACUGGGCUAUCAGGGCACGUUUUUCCCCAAGCCCUGGUCCCCUUGUCUGGAUGUGGAACACAACAACGGGCCAGAUGGCUGUGCCUUGUUUUUUCUCCACAACCGAUUCAAGCUGGUCAACAGUGCCAACAUCAGGCUGACGGCCAUGGCGCUGAAAACCAACCAGGUGGCCAUUGCCCAGACCCUAGAGUGCAAGGAGUCCAGCCGACAGUUCUGCAUCGCCGUCACCCACCUCAAGGCUCGCACUGGCUGGGAGCGAUUUCGAUCGGCCCAAGGCUGUGACCUUCUCCAGAACCUGCAGAACAUCACCCAGGGAGCCAAGAUUCCCCUUAUCGUUUGUGGGGACUUCAACGCAGAGCCAACAGAGGAGGUCUACAGACACUUCGCAUCCUCCAGCCUCAACCUGAACAGCGCCUACAAGCUGCUGAGCGCGGACGGGCAGUCAGAACCUCCGUACACCACCUGGAAGAUCCGGACCUCGGGCGAGUGCCGGAACACCCUGGAUUAUAUCUGGUACUCCAAGCAUGCGCUCAGCGUGAGGUCGGCCCUGGGUCUGCUCACCGAGGAACAGAUUGGACCCAACCGGCUACCGUCCUUCAAUUACCCUUCAGACCACCUGUCCCUAGUGUGUGACUUUAGCUUUAACGAGGAACCUUGAUGGACAUUUAUAAAUGCUUGUCUGUGUCUCUUUAAUCACAAGUCUUAACCAGGGACGUUUCAGGAAGCUGAAAUAAGAUAAGAGGUUGACUGAGGAAGGCUCCCCAGUUCCUCUCACUUCACUUUCCGUGUUUCCAGCAUGCCCUUGGGAAGGAACCCCGUUUGCUCACGAACCUUUUCCAUUAAAACCUACAGCGAAGAAGGUGUUUGCACUCCAGUUUUGAGUCCUGAAUCAUAGGGAGGAAACACCAGUCAGAAGAGAAGAUGGGAAGCCGGACACGGGAUACCGCGACAUCUGCCUUAACGUUGGUAAACCUGAAGGGAACACCCGGCAAAAUUCUGCAACAUUUCACAGUUUACUUUGUGAGAAAGUAAGAUCAUUGCAUGGUGGGAUAGACUUAUUCAGACACUAACCUUGUUCUACCCCAAGCCCUGCCUUUUUUUGUUGUUUGUUUAUUUUUGGCUGCGUUGGGUCUUCGUUGCUGUGCGCGGGCUUUCUCUAGUUGCAGCAAGCAGGGGCUACUCUUUGUUGCGGUGUGCGGGCUUCUCAUUGCGGUGGCUUCUCUUGUUGCGGAGCACGGGCUCUAGGCGCGUGGACUUAAGUGGUUGUGGCAUGUGGGCUCAGUAGUUGUGGCACAUGGGCUCAGUAGUUGUGGCUCGCAGGCUCUAGAGCACAGGCUCAGUAGUUGUGGCACGUGGGCUCAGUAGUUGUGGCGCACGGGCUUAGUUUCUCCGUGGCAUGUGGGAUCUUCCUGGACCAGGGCUAGAACCUGUGUCCCCUGCGUUGGCAGGCAGAUUUUUUUUUUUUUUUGCGGUACGCGGGCCUCUCACUGUUCUGGCCUCUCCCAUUGCAGAGCACAGGCUCUGGACGCGCAGGCUCAGCGGCCAUGGCCCACGGGCCCAGCUGCUCCGCGGCAUGUGGGAUCCUCCCGGACCGGGGCACGAACCCGUGUCCCCUGCAUCGGCAGGCGGACUCUCAAACACUGCGCCACCAGGGAAGCCCCCCUGCCUUUUGUUGGAUGGGAGGGAAAGGAGGUUGAGGCCAGAGAAGAAGUUCUGAAUCUAGGUCUGCCACUGACAAGCUGAACUGAAACUGACGAGUCAAGUUUUUCCUGAACCUUAGUUUAUUUAUAAUAUAGGGAAUAGACCAGGAAAUCUCUUAAAACUGGUUUGCACUUCAAAACAAUUUGAGUUACUGCUGCCACCGCUCAAAAAUGUUUUUGAAACUUUGGGGAACAGCUUCCCUAUCCAGUUUUAUGAAGGUUUCAAGAAAAAAAAAAAAAUGUGAACUUCAGAGCCACAUUUCGUUUUGAAACAGAUAUGGCAGUACUAGCUUAAUUCGUGUCAGUUUCUUAACCUUAAGUGACUUGGCUAUUUCUAAAACUAAAAUCUUCCUCGGCAGGAAACCUGUCUGUAUUAAGCAUGUUUUAAAAUUUUAGGUUCUGCUCCAAUAAGCAAUUCAAAAGUAUUUUUUGAACGAUGGUAGCAUUGAUGGCAUUAAUAUAUAGCUUCCCGAAAGUAAUUUUUUUAAGGGACAAGGCACAUUAACACAGUGUACUGUUUCGUAAGACUUGAAAAGAUUCAUUCUAAUUAAAGAGAUAAUAAAUGUGAGAAAAAGGCUUUAGAAUCAAUAAAAUAUACAGUAUGUAGGUUUUUUAAAGGCCAUGUGUAAUAGUUAAUAGGUAUAUCUCAAACUACCUUUUUCUGUUGAACGUUUUAGAAAAGCUUAGAUUAAGACAGAUCUCUAAAUGUAAAACUUUCCUUACUGCAUCUGGAUGGCAGUGGUUCCCAAACCUGGCUGCGUGGUGAAAUCACACUGAAAUAUUUUUAAAAAUACUGACGCCCAGCUCCCAUUCCCACACAUUGUAAUUUUUUUUUAAUUAAUUUAUUUAUUUAUUUUUGGUUGCGUUGGGUCUUGGUUGAUGUGUGCAGGCUUUUCUCUAGUUACGGCGAGCGGGGGCUACUCUUCGUUGCGGUGUGCGGGCUUCUCAUUGCGGUGGCUUCUCUUGUUGCGGAGCACGGGCUCUAGGGGCGCAGGCUUCAGUAGUUGUAGCACGCAGGCGCCGUGGGUGUGGCGCGCGGGCUCUAGAGCGCAGGCUCAGUAGUUGUGGUGCACGGGCUUAGUUGCUCCGAGGCAUGUGGGAUCUUCCCGGACGAGGGCUCGAACCCGUGUCCCCUGCAUUGGCAGGCGGAUCCUUAACCACUGUGCCACCAGGGAAGCCCCACACAUUGUAAUUUAACUGGUAUGGGAUGUGACCUGCGCAACAGGAUUUUAAGAUCUUCCCAGGUGAUCUAAUGUGCAGCGAAGUUACUUAUGACAGUAUUUCAGUGAUUUCAUGUCCUACAAUCCAAAUAAUUUGCAGAUUCUGUAAAACAGUUUAGUAUCCACCUUUUACGACAGUAUCACGUCAUUACAAUCUUUUAGACAAAAUUUUCUAAAAGUUAAACAUACAAUGGGAUGGGAGGAAACGAUAUUCUGGGAGAAGACAACUCUGCUCUUAGUUUACAGUCUAUUUAUAGGUUGGUUUCGACAUGGAGUAUUUUGCAUUAAAUACUCAUGUUUUGUGUGUACGUCCUCACUUGGGAAGUUGUAAUAUGUCAUUUAUAAAUCCCGAACCCACAGCAUAACUGCUGAGGUGCAGUGUUAAAAAAGAUAAGUUACGGAUGCGUAAAAAGUGAAGUAGAUUCGUGUCCAAUCAAAUACGGCACACCUCAGAGAACACCCUCAGCUGAACUGGGGGUUCAGCUCCAGACCACCAGAAUGAGUAUCUCAAUAAAGCAAGACAUGAAUUUUUGGUGUCCCAGUGCACACAAAAGUGACGAUACUAUAGUCUACUAAGUGUGCGAUAACAUUAUGUCCCAAAAAAAGCAGUGUAUAUACCUUAAUUGAAAAAAACUUUAUUGCUAAAAAAGUCUCGCCACCAUCUGACCCUUCAGUAAGCGGUAAUCUUUUCUGGAGGGUUUGAAAUACCGUGAGCGUUACCAAAGACACAGACACGAAGUGAGCAAAUGCCGUUGGAAUAAGGGCGCCGAUAGACUUGCUUGACAGCAGUGUUGCCGCAGACCUUCAGUUUGUAUAAAACAAAGCACCUGCAGAGUGCAGCACAGUAAAAGGAAGUGUGCCAUGAGUCUCCCCGCUGCACUUGUUUUUCAGAGGUUUCUUGGUGUGAUGCAGGAGGCGAGUCAGUGCACUUGCAAAGGGGGAAGAGUAUCUUAUUCUCAUGAGGACUGGCGGCCUGUGCACCGAGUCCGCACAGAAUAGGUUACAACCGUGGAGGACCACGAUAUAACCAAGGGGCUGAAGGACGGAUGAACCACAACCACAAAGGAGCUGCACUGUGAACUUGCUGUGUUGGCUGUGGAACUAAAAGCAGGGUUCCUCUUGCCUCCCCAAAAUAUGCUCUGUAAUGCCCUCCCGUAAGAUAGACCAGGGGGCUUAAAGGAUCACGGGAUGCUUUGUACGUACAAGCCCAAAUUUUGUUUUCGUUAUCAUUAAACAUGACUUGUUCGUAUGCAGUGAUCAGAGACGCACUCUCUGAAGCAUGCCAGGUGUCAGAGGCGGCUGGCUGGUAACGAACCAGGUGCCGUUGUCCCUUACAUUCUGGUGUCACGGACAACGCCUUACUGGAACUGCCCCUCUCUUGUCACUGUAUCGAUGUUGGUGGCUUCUUAUUUGCUUGGCCCUUCCCGGUACACUUGACACUGUUGCCCACCCUUACCUUGACCUCAACUGUCCUGUUAACCACGAACAGCCCUUGGUCUCCACUGCUGGGUUACUCUUCCUCUCCCCCGGCCCUUGUCGUCUUUAUAUACUUGAGGCUUUUCAAUCUUUUGCUCAGAAUUCACUCAGAGUUAAGACCACGCCCCACCCUGAAUGGUUUCCAAGCCUAUUUAUUUCAGAAAUAUUUUGAUGUCUGUCACCUCCACCUCAAAUCUAGGUGAAGGAAGGGUGGUCCAGAGAGAAGCCAUCAGUGGCAUGGCCCAACGAGCAAGAGAUGCCGUGGAAGAAUGUAAAGCAGUCGCAAGGAAGUGAUGGAAGUACACAGUCUAGAAAGCUCUCAUCUGGCAGCACGGGAGACGGACUAGAGGGAAGCUUGAGGAGACAAAGCAGUAAGGUAGGGAGGAUGGGAAAGGAAGCUGUUUAGAAGGUACCAGCAACAGGACUUGGUAAAAGACUGGAUAUAGGAGGCAGAGGGUCUAGAAUGGCCUUCACGCAGUGUCAUUUGUUAAGCUAAGAGGAAUAGAUUUUUGAGAGAGGAAGUUCCAUUGGACACUCAGGAGGAAACAGCCGGCAGGGAAUUAAACCCAUCUAAGACUUUCAGUCUAGCCUAGAACAAUAGAUUUGGUAGUAAAAACCACAGGCGUGGAUGAGGUUAUCUAACAGUUAUGUUGAAGCAAAAUCGUAACAGUAAAUAUAACUACGAGGAAAAGAGCCCCGUGGUAAGUACGACCUUUAAAUGGGAAAGCUGAAGGAAAACCAAGUAGACGAAGAAAGGAGAGUUGGUCAGGCAGGGGGUAAACCAGAAGGGGGGGGGGGUGUCACGGGAAAUCGAAGGGGAAUUUUAAGAAGUAGGCUGAUCACAUGAAAACAUGAAGCAUCUGUUUGAUGUCACUGUUGGGUUGCUGGAGACCCCAGUGGGAACUGUUUCUAAGCAGAACUGACUGCAAGCUUCUGAAGAAUACGGGCUGUUGGAACAAGGCAACCAAGGAGGUGUGAAAGGGGAGAAGAUGGUGAGUACAGGAGGGGGAGGCACACCUGCCUCCUUCCCGAGACGGCCGUUUGUUAAGGAUGGAGGGUGGAAUACGUGGAUGCUCUUGCAGCAAGGGUCCCGAAACGGAGCUCACAGCUCAUGACCUCAGUGUUCUCUCUAAAGAGGUAUACCGGCCAUUCGGUAAGCAGGGUGGUGGCGAGAAGGCUGGGACCGCUGCUGGAAGACGACCCAAGGAAUAAACGGGCUGACUGCUGAUCACUGUCAGAAGCCUGGCCAGACUGGAAAAUGUAGCCGCAUCAAGUCAUUGUUACGUGCUUCUUCUCUGAUACACUGGACACAAAAAGCAAAUCCUCUAGGUGCAGAGGUUCUUAAAUUGAUGAAAGAACAGAAGAGAGUCCCGAGAAGAAGAUCAGAAGACAUAUGCCACCAGUGAGCCACCAGGUCAUCUCCAGGCUCCUACUCAAUAACCCUUCACUAUCCUCAAAUCCAGAUCCAAGUUCCGGGCUACGUGAGAAGGACCUUGAGGGUGGGAGGCUUCCCCAUCAAGCCACUGCUACUACUCAACCGAAACGCUGAUGUUUUUCUCCUCUAGCAUUUCACGUUCAUGCUGUAUUUCCCUGAAAAUUCAGUCAAUCCAUGAACCCAUAGCUGAGCCCCGUGUGCAUCUCUUGACUUUAAAAAAUUAACCUUCAGCUUCACAAUGUUAUUUGUAUCUUCAACUUUACUAUGUUACAUUUGUACAUCAGCAUCAAUACCGAAAAACUCUUAGUAUUAAACCGUGCAUAACUUUCAACUACGCCACUCAGUUGAAUCAAGAUAUGUAGCUGGGGCAUUUUCAUUUUAUGACCUAGAGAUUAUAAGGACUUAUUCUGGAAGAGAUUUUUGUACAACAGACAACGCCCUGCACGCAGUAGGGAUGUGGUGCUUCUGCGUCUACUGAGCUAGUCAGACUCACCAACAUUCUUUAGGUUCUCUCUAAAUGCUUCGCCCCAGUUCCCACCCCCAAGUUAAAAUUAGCGGUUCUAUUUCUCGUUUUAAGGAAAACAGAAUUUGAAAGGGAAGCCUUCUUUAUCAGACAAGGUAGUUCACUAAGUCUAUGCAGACAUUAUCAUCAUAAUUUUGCAGAAGAGGAAACACUGACUGGAUUUUUAAUCCAGGGGUGACUGUAAUCACUUUAAUCUUCACAUUUCAACAGGCCGCCUCAAGUUUAAUAAUACAAAACUGAAAUUUUAAUGAAAGGUGAUUUUGACUGGUAAAAAUCGGUUAUCACAAAAUUUUUUUCCAGUUUUAAACCUAAGGUCUUUGGGCUUCCCUGGUGGCGCAGUGGUCGAGAGUCCGCCUGCCGAUGCAAAGGACACGGGUUCGUGCCCCGGUCCGGGAGGAUCCCACAUGCCGCGGAGCGGCUGGGCCCGUGAGCCAUGGCCACUGAGCCUGCGCAUCCAGAGCCUGUGCUCCACAACGGGAGAGGCCCUCGUACCGCAAAAAAAAACCCAAAAUAUAAGGUCUCUGAAUACAAGAGACACCACUGAUGAUGGGAAUAAUUUUUUAAAAAGUAGUAACUGGGACUUCCCUGGUGGCACAGUGGUUAAGAAUCCGCCUGCCAAUGCAAGGGACACGGGUUCGAGCCCUGGUCCGGGAAGAUCCCACACGCCGCGGAGCAACAAAGCCCGUGCACCACAACUACUGAGCCUGCACUCUAGAGCCCGCGAGCCACAACUACUGAGGCCCGCACACCUAGAGCCGGUGCUCCGCAACAAGAGAAGCCACCGCAGUGAGAAGCCCGCGCACCGCAACUAGCGAAAGCCCGCGCACAGCAACGAAGACCCAACGCAGCCAGAAAUAAAUAAAAUAAAAUUGUUAGAAAAAGCUUUACCUACCGAUUGCAGAGGAUCUGAUAAUCUGCGAAGCCCUUUGAGCUCAAAUGAGGAAAAGUAAAAAAUAUUAUUUUAAACACUCUCUACUGCUCUGAGCCAAUCAAUUCACCAGAAUUUCAGCAUAAAUUUCCCCACCUCAACGUGCAG